AAACAUGGAGGAGCGCUGCAUUUGCCCCUCGGUGUGGUUAUGGUGGAAGUUGGUCCGCGGUUUUAUUUUUGGUUAGGUAAUAGCGAUGUGGUGUCAGAUGCAAACGACAUAGGAAGGGUCAAAAGGCAGCGUUUGUUUUAAAAGAGAAGACACUUUCAGAAGCUCAUCAAACAUAGAGAGAUAGUACAAAGACAUACCAAGUUCAUAAAUGCUUUGAAAAAUAUUUGGGGUUAUAAAAAGAUGGUGCAAUAGCAUCCUUCCAAGAGCAGCUGAAGCCUGAGAUGUUGAUCAUGCAGUACACAUAUAAGCUGACAGAAUGGAAGGAUGUACAAAAUUGUGAUAUUUUGUCAUUUGUGAACACCAAUCUUACAGCGCACUUGUCGUCCGCGUUCGUGCGUUAAACUGAGCCUGCUCGGCACACGCUUGGUCCGCCUGCUUUCGGGGCGCCUCCGCGGGCCUGCCCACAAUGGCGGCCCACGGCUCGCACCAGC